AUCUCAUGGUCGACAAUCAACGGGUCGAAAGAUUACAAUUAGCCAACGAGGUGGGGAUCCUCAAGAUCCCGUUGCCUACACAUCGCUGUGAUAUAAACAUCAGAGGAUUCAUAAACCCCUACCAUUGGCGGAUGGUGCGGACUGAGAGGCAGGCCGACCGAUAUUUUCGAGAGCAAUACAUGGAUGUAUGGGAUGACGACAGCCUGUUCCUAGCGUAACUAUUCGGUCUCCAACCAUACGAGCAGGAUCCUGAACCGGAAAAUUGGUGAAAGCUUCAUCAUCGUCCUAGCGGUGUGUGCCACGCGGCGGCGGCGGCGGCA